UACGUAGGGGGCAAGCGUUGUCCGGAUUUAUUGGGCGUAAAGAGCGUGUAGGCGGCCAGACAGGUCCGUUGUGAAAACUCGAGGCUCAACCUCGAGACGCCGAUGGAAACCGUCUGGCUAGAGUCCGGAAGAGGAGAGUGGAAUUCCCGGUGUAGCGGUGAAAUGCGCAGAUAUCCGGAGGAACACCGGUGGCGAAGGCGGCUUCCUGGACCGACACUGACGCUGAGGCGCGAAAGCUAGGGGAGCAAACGGG
rnacentral:rRNA from 1 species